UACGAAGGGGGCUAGCGUUGUUCGGAAUUACUGGGCGUAAAGCGUGCGCAGGCGGCUUCUCAAGUCAGGGGUGAAAGCCCAGAGCUCAACUCUGGAAUUGCCUUUGAGACUGAGUGGCUUGAGUACGGGAGAGGUGAGUGGAAUUCCCAGUGUAGAGGUGAAAUUCGUAGAUAUUGGGAGGAACACCAGUGGCGAAGGCGGCUCACUGGACCGGUACUGACGCUGAUGCGCGAAAGCGUGGGGAGCAAACGGG
rnacentral:rRNA from 1 species